CUUUUUCUUACUUUUUUUUCAAUUAACCUGUGGGGAUCAGUUUUUUAAAUUACUACCCCACUAUUGUCAUCAUUUAUUAAUGGAUAUAAUUGUUUUGUAAAAUCUUGUUUUCUCCUUCUCGGGGCAGGCUCUCAUUGUAACUGUGCUAAUUAAACUAUGGUGAGAAGUGAACGGUGAGAUCGCGUCACAUUCUAACAGAAUGCUAAUUUAAC